CUGCGGAAGGAUCAUUACCGAGUUGAUUCGGGCUCCGUCCCGAUCCUCCCACCCUUUGUAUACCUACCUCUGUUGCUUUGGCGGGCCGCGGUCUUCCGCGGCCGCCCCCCGCAUUUUGGGGGGUGGCUAGUGCCCGCCAGAGGACUAUCAAACUCCAGUCAGUAAACGUUGCAGUCUGAAAAAAAUAUUAAAUAAACUAAAACUUUCAACAACGGAUCUCUUGGUUCUGGCAUCGAUGAAGAACGCAGCGAAAUGCGAUAAGUAAUGUGAAUUGCAGAAUUCAGUGAAUCAUCGAAUCUUUGAACGCACAUUGCGCCCCUUGGUAUUCCGGGGGGCAUGCCUGUUCGAGCGUCAUUUCAACCCUCAAGCUCUGCUUGGUAUUGGGCACCGUCCUUUGCGGGCGCGCCUCAAAGACCUCGGCGGUGGCGUCUUGCCUCAAGCGUAGUAGAAUACACCUCGCUUCGGAGCGUAAGGCGUGCGCCCGCCGGACGAACMUUCUGAACUUUUCUCAAGGUUGACCUCGGAUCAGGUAGGGAUACCCGCUGAACUUAAGCAUA
rnacentral:rRNA from 1 species